rnacentral:rRNA from 1 species
GACGAACGCUGGCGGCGUGCUUAACACAUGCAAGUCGAGCGGUAAGGCCCUUUCGGGGGUACACGAGCGGCGAACGGGUGAGUAACACGUGGGUGACCUGCCCUCAGCUCUGGGAUAAGCCUGGGAAACCGGGUCUAAUACCGGAUAUGACUCCAUGACGCAUGUUGUGGGGUGGAAAGCCUUGUGCGGCUGGGGAUGGGCCCGCGGCCUAUCAGCUUGUUGGUGGGGUGAUGGCCACCAAGGCGACGGCGGGUAGCCGGCCUGAGAGGGCGACCGGCCACACUGGGACUGAGACACGGCCCAGACUCCUACGGGAGGCAGCAGUGGGGAAUCUUGCGCAAUGGGCGAAAGCCUGACGCAGCGACGCCGCGUGAGGGAUGACGGCCU